GGGGUCUCUGGCAGCACAAGAGUGUUCAUAAUUAUUUGGGUGACGUCAUGCAUCCCCCAUGCAUUGGUUUUCAUGUCUCCAGUGAGUUGUUGCGCAAGUCUGAUAUUACUGAUCCACACGCAGCAGGCAGCUUCCUGUACUGAGCUAGCUCCACCCCUUGGACAGUCCAGGACUGAACGGUUGUCAAAAAUGUGAACUCUUUGAUGUCCAGUAAAGGCAACUGAGGGAACUGUGUAGCAAGGGUUGCUCUCUGGAACAGAUGGUGUGGGAGGCAGGCUUGGUAGAAAUCAGAGGGUGGGGUAACCCCUCGUCCCUUCAGGGAUGUGCUUGACUAAUUCAGAGUUUUGCAGUCUGGUGGGGGCAUGAAAGCCAUUAGGCUGAGGACAUGGUGGGGUGCUGCAUGAAAUUUUAGGUGUCACAAUACAAUUGACCCCACAGUUAUGAGUAAUGUAAUGUGGAAGCCGAUGCAAAGCUACUGCCCCCAUUUAUUUAGCAGGAGGCAGGAAAAG
rnacentral:lncRNA from 1 species